AAACACUUGGUUCUCACCAUCCAGCUCCACUGCUUCACCUUGUCCAGGAAUAUCUUUGUAUAACAGGCCAGCAGAAAACAGUGUGUCUUUUCUCUCCAGCAACAUUGAGUUCCCAGGCAAACUUUAGCCAUGAAGAUUGUCUACCUCCUCUUUGCUGUCUUUUUCCUGGUGCUGCAAAGCUCUCCAGGAUUCACUCAGUUUAUCAAUAGCCCCGCUCUUUGUAAACGUGCUCGAGGCUCCUGCCGCCGUAUAUGUUAUGGCAAAUACAGACUGAUUGGAAGCUGCGGUUCUGGGCAGAAUUGCUGUAAAAGGAGAGCGUGAGUGAGCGAUGGCAGCAGAAAUUGUCAAUGCAGGAUCGCUGAGAAUCUGGCAGGCGGCGCCUUGCUUCUAAAAUCCUUGGAUGCUUUUCAUCUGGGCUGCAAAGAAUCUCACAAGCUGGAAAAAACCCACAAGGGAGCCCUUGUGUCACCCCUAAGAGCUUGUUCUUCUCUCUUUAAUAAAAGUAGCUAGUUGCUGUGAUGCAUUGCAAA